GGGUAUAGCUCAGUGGUAGAGUGUGUGCUUAGCAUGCAUGAGGUCCUGGGUUCAAUCCCCAGUACCUCCA
rnacentral:tRNA from 1 species